GGCGCCCACAAGCCUAAUUAAUAAAGUUCUCUCACUCGUCCCACUGCUCGCUCCCUGCGUCGCUACCAAGUAAUUCACGUAAAUUGUAAACCUCGACCCUCGAAUCAACUAAUCCAGCGUUAACCCCGGCACACGAUGAUAACCGGCCGACGCCACAGUGCAGCGUAACAUCCAGAGACAUGAGGACGGAGUCAGCGUCGUGAUCGCAGCCUAGGUAGGAUCUUUACGUGGCGUGGACGGCAGGGCGGCCGCAUCGGGUGUGC